CCCCGUGUGUGUUGGGUCGGUGGUAGGAGAAUUGCAAACUCAUCGUUCAAAAAGGCAAUUGAGUUCAAUUGAUGCGACACACUCCCUUGGCUAUUCAUUCGCAGUAUCGUGUUCAGUGCAUCUCACCUCACUGACGAACAAACAAAACACGACCAAGUAAACAUUCAACUGCCAGAGUGCUCAAACUUUACCCUUCCGUCCUCGACGAUAUCGUCUGCAUACUGUUAAAUUGGGUUUCAACCGCCCAGCACAAGAACCACUCAAUGAUCCAAUGGUAAACGCACCAGUUAUUACAAGGCCGGAUGUUGGAUCGAUUCUAAUCGUCUUCUCCCAAGAACGAUAGAUGGAAUUUUAGUAAAAAAAAUCUUGUAUUUAAUAACGAACGAAGCUAUGCCAAUGUUCAAGUUGUUUAAUGUUAAUUUUCCUCGUUUAUUUAAUUAAAUAUUAAUAAAAUUUCAAGCUCUAAAAACCAUAAAAAUGUGUAAAGAACAUUAUAUUUUCUAAAAAGGAAUAAAAGAAACGCCAUUUAAAGGUCAUCGCAUGUAAUCUG